GAUGAACGCUGGCGGCGCGCCUAACACAUGCAAGUCGAACGGCACCCCUCCUCGGAGGGAAGCGAGUGGCGAACGGCUGAGUAACACGUGGAGAACCUGCCCCCUCCCCCGGGAUAGCCGCCCGAAAGGACGGGUAAUACCGUACACCCCGGGGUCCCGCAUGGCACCCCGGCUAAAGCCCCGACGGGAGGGGAUGGCUCCGCGGCCCAUCAGGUGGACGGCGGGGUGACGGCCCACCGUGCCGACAACGGGUGGCCGGGCUGGGAGACCGACCGGCCAGGUAGGGAGUGAGGCACGAGCCGGAUUCCGGCGGGAGGCGGCAGUAGGGAAUCUUGAGGGGUGGGGGGAAGACGGAGGAAGCGACGCCGCGUGCGGGACGGAGGCCGUCGGGACGUAAACCGCUUUCAGGAGGGAAGGGUCAAGACUGUACCUGCAGAAGAAGCCCCGGCUAACUACGUG
rnacentral:rRNA from 1 species